GAGGUCCCAAGCGUUGUUCGGAUUCACUGGGCGUAAAGGGUGCGUAGGUGGCGGGGUAAGCCGGAUGUGAAAUCUCCGAGCUCAACUCGGAAAUGGCAUUGGAAACUACCUUGCUCGAGGGUUGGAGGGGGGACUGGAAUACUUGGUGUAGCAGUGAAAUGCGUAGAUAUCAAGUGGAACACCAGUGGCGAAGGCGAGUCCCUGGACAACUCCUGACACUGAGGCACGAAAGCUAGGGGAGCAAACAGGAUUAGAUACCCUGGUAGUCCUAGCUGUAAACGGUGCACGUUUGCUGUAAAAGGAAUCGACCCCUUUUGUGGCGUAGCUAACGCGUUAAACGUGCCGCCUGGGAAGUACGGUCGCAAGAUUAAAACUCAAAGAAAUUGACGGGGGCCUGCACAAGCGGUGGAGUAUGUGGCUCAAUUCGAUGCAACGCGAAGAACCUUACCUGGCCUUGACAUGCAAGUAGUAGAAGGGUGAAAGCCUGACGAGGUAGCAAUACCAGCUUGCACAGGUGCUGCAUGGCUGUCGUCAGCUCGUGUCGUGAGAUGUGGGGUUAAGUCCCGCAACGAGCGCAACCCCUGUGUCCUGUUGCCACUCCUACGAGAGUAGGGAGCACUCUGNACAGCCUGCCUCGCUUAAACGAGGAGGAAGGUGGGGAUGACGUCAAGUCAGUAUGGCCCUUACGACCAGGGGUGCACACGCCCUACAAUGCCCGGUACAAAGGNAAGCGAGACCGCAAGGUGGAGCAAAUCCCCCAAAACCGG
rnacentral:rRNA from 1 species